GAAAAAGAAAUAAAGCCUAACGGAGUAAAAAAUUAAAGAGAAAAGAAAAGCUGCUGGCGGUUUCUCAUUCUACCUAGAGGUACAUGCAUUUGAAAACGAAUCUGCCCGAAAUGACCGUUCUCAUCCUUGAGAUAGCUCAUUUUGCACACCACUGUCUGAAAAGGGAAAGCUGUCCCUUUUUAUCUUCCUAAGAAAUAAGGCAAGUAAACGUGUAGAUGAUGGGUGAGAAAGUGUGUGUUCCAAUUUUACUAAUAAAGGAGUAACUGAAAGACCUCUAAAAAGAGAAUUUAGAAGUAAAGGAAGUUUAUCAAACUUCUUUGAAAGAAGCUCUGAGAAAUGU
rnacentral:rRNA from 1 species